rnacentral:lncRNA from 1 species
UAUCGCCUAAGGGACGCGAAGGCGAAAGCCUUGCAAAGCCUACUGUGAUUCACCUUAGUACACCCUAAUCCUCCUUGAUACACCUUAAUCGACCUUAAUUCACCCUAAUCCACUUUAAGCCUCCUUAACACACCAUAAUUCACCUUAAUCCAAUCACUAAUCAAUCAUUAACUUUGCUAAUCAUUAAUUAUCUCUUAUACACGGCUGCACCUGCUUUGGUUCGCUUCUGGCCUUCCUUGGAUCGUGUGAUCUAUUC